rnacentral:snRNA from 1 species
UCAGCUUCUAGCCUUUGUGCUAAGAUCUUUUCGAUUUUAAAAGUUCUUAUACGUUUAACAGCGUAUAGCAAGUCAUUGACUUGCAUCGUUGUUUACGAAUUUCUGGAUGCAUUCUCAUUCUGGAAACGGAAUUGAGAGCAUUGUCUUCUGGCUUCACAAUCCAGUUGACAAUAAGGCGG